AUUAUUUUGGCAGAAUAGUGCAAUGAAUUUAGAAUUCAUAUAUGUAAUUUAAUUACAAAUAAUA
rnacentral:tRNA from 1 species